rnacentral:rRNA from 1 species
UACGGGAGGCAGCAGGGGGAAUAUUGCACAAUGGGCGCAAGCCUGAUGCAGCCAUGCCGCGUGUAUGAAGAAGGCCUUCGGGUUGUAAAGUACUUUCAGUCGUGAGGAAGGUGUUAAGGUUAAUAACCUUAGCAAUUGACGUUAGCGACAGAAGAAGCACCGGCUAACUCCGUGCCAGCAGCCGCGGUAAUACGGAGGGUGCGAGCGUUAAUCGGAAUUACUGGGCGUAAAGGGCACGCAGGCGGUUAAUUAAGUUGGAUGUGAAAUCCCCGGGCUUAACCUGGGAAUGGCAUUCAAGACUGGUUAGCUAGAGUCUUGUAGAGGGGGUUAGAAUUCCAUGUGUAGCGGUGAAAUGCGUAGAGAUGUGGAGGAAUACCGGUGGCGAAGGCGGCCCCUGGACAAAGACUGACGCUCAUGUGCGAAAGCGUGGGGAGCAAAC